rnacentral:rRNA from 1 species
GAUGAACGCUGGCGGCGUGCUUAACACAUGCAAGUCGAACGAUUAAAGCCCCUUCGGGGGUGUAUAAAGUGGCGAACGGGUGAGUAACACGUGGGUAACCUGCCCCUGACUCUGGGAUAACUCCGGGAAACCGGAGCUAAUACCGGAUACUCCGAGCGGAUCGCAUGGUCUGCUCGGGAAAGCUCCGACGGUCAGGGAUGGACCCGCGGCCCAUUAGCUUGUUGGUAGGGUAAUGGCCUACCAAGGCGACGAUGGGUAGCCGAGCUGAGAGGCUGAUCGGCCACACUGGGACUGAGACACGGCCCAGACUUCUACGGGAGGCAGCAGUGGGGAAUCUUGCGCAAUGGGCGAAAGCCUGACGCAGCAACGCCGCGUGCGGGAUGAAGGCCUUCGGGUCGUAAACCGCUUUCAGCAGGGACUAAACUGACGGUACCUGCAGAAGAAGCCCCGGCUAACUACGUGCCAGCAGCCGCGGUAAUACGUAGGGGGCAAGCGUUAUCCGGAUUCAUUGGGCGUAAAGAGCGCGUAGGCGGCUUGGUAAGUCAGAUGUGAAAACUGGGGGCUCAACCCGCAGCCUGCAUCUGAAACUGCCAGGCUUGAGUCUGGUAGAGGAAAGUGGAAUUCCCAGUGUAGCGGUGAAAUGCGCAGAUAUUGGGAGGAACACCAGUGGCGAAGGCGGCUUUCUGGGCCACGACUGACGCUGAGGCGCGAAAGCUAGGGGAGCAAACAGGAUUAGAUACCCUGGUAGUCCUAGCCGUAAACGAUGGGCACUAGGUGUGGGGGGUCAUCAACUCCCUCCGUGCCGCAGCUAACGCAUUAAGUGCCCCGCCUGGGGAGUACGGCCGCAAGGCUA